rnacentral:rRNA from 1 species
AGAACGAACGCUGGCGGCAGGCUUAACACAUGCAAGUCGAACGCGUGUAGCAAUACACGAGUGGCGCACGGGUGAGUAACGCGUGGAUAUCUGCCUUUUGGUUCGGAAUAACCCCGGGAAACUGGGGCUAAUACCGGAUGGUUCCUUCGGGAUAAAGAUUUAUCGCCAAAAGAUGAGUCCGCGUCCGAUUAGCUAGUUGGUGAGGUAAUGGCUCACCAAGGCGACGAUCGGUAGCUGGUCUGAGAGGACGAUCAGCCACACUGGGACUGAGACACGGCCCAGACUCCUACGGGAGGCAGCAGUGGGGAAUAUUGGACAAUGGGGGCAACCCUGAUCCAGCCAUGCCGCGUGAGUGAUGAAGGCCUUCGGGUUGUAAAGCUCUUUUGGCGGGACGAUGAUGACGGUACCCGCAGAAUAAGCCCCGGCUAACUUCGUGCCAGCAGCCGC